rnacentral:lncRNA from 1 species
GGGGCGACACCCACCUUCCUCCGAAUAUCUUCAUUCCUGAUCUUGUCUAUCCUAGUGUGCCCCCACAUCUACCUCAGCAUCCAUAUCUCAGCUACUUUCAACCUCUGGAUAUGGGAGUUCUUAACCGGCCAACACUCUACCCCAUACAACAUAGCCGGUCUAACAAAAGCUCUAUAAAACAUACCUUUGAGUAUUGGUGGCACUUUCUUAUCGCACAAGACUCCAGAUGCAAGCCUCCAUUUCAUCCAUCCCGCCCCUAUGCGGUGAGUGACGUCUUCGUCGAUCUCUCCAUCC